UACGAAGGGGGCUAGCGUUGUUCGGAUUUACUGGGCGUAAAGCGCACGUAGGCGGACUAUUAAGUCAGGGGUGAAAUCCCGGGGCUCAACCCCGGAACUGCCUUUGAUACUGGUAGUCUUGAGUUCGAGAGAGGUGAGUGGAAUUCCGAGUGUAGAGGUGAAAUUCGUAGAUAUCGGGGGAACACCAGUGGCGAAGGCGGCGAAUCUGGGAAGAUACGUGACGCUGAGGUGCGAAAGCGUGGGGAGCAAACAGGG
rnacentral:rRNA from 1 species